rnacentral:lncRNA from 1 species
CUUGAGGGAGGAAAGUGCAGGACACCGAGGGGACCUGUGUCUUGUGUUUCAGAUGGCUGGAGUACAGUGGCACGAUCUCAGCUCACUGAAGCCUUACCUACUGGGCUCAAGCGAUCCUCCCACCUCAGCCUCGCACAUAGCUGGGACUACAGGAUAGAAACUUGAUACCUCCCUGCAAGCUGAGGGAGCAGGCUCCGGCCUUGGCCAGCCCAGAAAGGGGAUCCCACAAUGCAGCGGUGGGCUGAAGUGUUCCUCAAGUGCCGCCAAAGUGGGAGCCCAGGCAGAGGAGGCGCCGAGAGCGAGUGAGGGCUGUGAGGACUGCCAGCACGCUGUCACCUCUCAACACUGCGGUGCUGAUAAUGACACUUCCUGAUAAUUAGGAAUGUGGAGCCAAGAUGGCCGAAUAGGAACAGCUCCGGUCUACAGCUCCCAGCGUGAGCGACGCAGAAGAUGGGUGAUUUCUGCAUUUCCAUCUGAGGUUUUUCCCAUGGUGUUCCCUUUCCAAUGUCUUUCUGGAAGUCACACAUUGACCACUAACAACAGGAGAGAGGACAAAGAAAGGCAGCAAAAGACUAUUUCCAAUGCGAAAUAUGAUCAGGUCCUGCUUCCUGGUUGCUGUGAGGAUUCAAUCUAAUAAUAUAUAUUAGAAUGUUCCUGAACCUCUAAAAGGCUUAAAAAAUCUUGACAGGCUUACUGUUAUUCUAAUAAAUGUUCCAAAUAAUAGAAGUUUAGAACCAAUGGAGAGAGAAUCACAGAAGUUGGGCAAAUGAGCAUCAAAUUACCCACUUUAUAAAGUUCUCUGAAGAAUAUAACUUGCAAUAUGCUCAUGCUUUACUCCAGAAUUCAAUUUACUUACCCAGUCAUAGUCUGAACU